GGGUGAAUCGGCUCCGCCCCGCGUGGGUUCAGCGCACAGAGCAGUGGACCCGGCGUCAGAGACGCGGUGGGAGUCCUGGCUGGGGUUCUCCCAGCCCCACCUGCCCCCGGAAGGGCCCCUGCCCCUGCCCCUGCAGGGAGUAGCUCAGGAGAGGCCUCCCCUCCCUCUCCAUGUUCACCCGGGCCCAGCCCCCCCAACCGGCCGCAGGGCUGGGAGCAGGGGUCACCAGCAGCAGGUGUGGUGCUCGUCACCUGCUAGUUCUCGGGCGUCUUCAGCUGGGCGGGCAGUGGGGCACAAGGGAGGCCUGUGUCCUUGAGGGGCGACGGCCCCGGCUGCUCUGGGAGUGAGCAACUUGCUUGUCUGGUCUCUGAGGCCGCGUUCCCUUGCCCGGGCCCCGCCAGACCCACCAUCACCAGGAAACGGGUCGACGUGGUGACACGGCGAGGCCUGCAGCCGGGCCUGGCGUGAGCGGACGCUCAGCCUCUGCCCCCCCCCCCCCGGCCCUGUGACAGUCCUAUCUGUCCUUCUGCCGUUCACGGAGGGCCGCCCACCCUUAGGGAGGGACAACUGGAAGUGAGUUGGAAUCCGAGGGAAGUGUUCCAAAGAGCGGGUGUGGACUGAACUGUCGCAGAAGCAGAGGGAUUCCAGCAGGGCUGUUGGUCGCUUGCUGACCAGUUCUCCGCCCCCGUGCCCCCUGCGAGCCAGACCAGGAACUUCUAGGAGGCAAAGCCUGUGUCUUGAACACCUGCGCUUCCUCGGCCCCAGGCCUUGAUCAGCAUACACAUCGGAGGAGGAGACAAAGGAGGCCCUCGUGGCUCUGCGUGGGGACUGUCCUCUACGGGAAUCCAGGGCAGGAGGGAGGAUACUGUCGGUCAAGGUCAGUCAGAAUGCCUGCGCCCUCCCGUCACACGGACACCAUCUCAGAGAACAUGACAGCGUGUCUCAGGGGCCCCUGCCAACCCGGUGGCCUGCCAGGUUCAGGAGGACAGACACUCUAACUAGGUCAGAGGCCCAGCUCGCCUGCCUCCUUCGGGGGAGCAAGCACCGUGCUCGCUGGAAAGAGCUCCUCUCACGUGAGAUUAUUUAUCCAUUUGGCUAAUUAGAUUUUAAUAAACUAUUUCACACUGCAGCUUGUGCUUUGCGAGAGGGAUUUAAACGGGCCCCGCCCGGAGGUCUUGCUGGCCCUGGAAGCUGACCAGGAGGCUGUGGCAGGGGAGGGGGCUGGGUGCUGGGGGCGGGGCCUCCCCCCCCCUCCCCGGCCGCCCCUCCUUUCCCCGCUCACCCCCAGGCCACCACUCAGUGUUCCGUCCAUCCUCACUCCUCUCCCGGCUCCCGCCAUGUGCCGCAGGCUCUGAGGGCCGUGGUGACAGGCCGCCCGACCCUGCCCGCUGGGGCUCGAGUCCAGCGCUGGAGGAACCACUGAUGGCAAGGCCACAGCCCCCACGGGGCCCCGGGACCCGGGCUGUCACAGCACUUCGCACAUAACGAACUCACUCGGUGCACUUGCCGUCCCAUGUCACAGGCCAGGAGACGGGGCGCAGAGGAUUUCAGCUCCGGGCCAGGGAUUUGAACCCCGAGUGGCUCCCGGUGGGGCUGUGUGGGUGCCUGUCUGUCGUAUUGCCUUGCGAGUCCACCACCGGGUCGGGGAGCUGGUGCUUGGCGUUCUCAGAGGAACCAGCAGGCAUUGGGUUUAGGCUGGGGAGGGGUCGGGGGCUCUCGGGACCAAGAGUUGGAGGUGAUCAGGAGUUGGAGGCUCAUGGAGUGGAGGCCGCAGCAGGUGCAAAGGCCCUGAGUCAGGAGGGGAAAGUGCAUGAAGGGCAGGCUGGGCUGAGAUGGGGGCGGGUGGCCUUCAGGAAGGGAAUUUGGGGAAACCGAGGGUUGGGCACUGGGAGUGGCGUCCCCAGUGCGGUUCACCUCCGCAGGAGGGCAGGGGUGACGUCUCACUCACCUCUCCUCCUCUGGGAAGCCCACCUGGGUCGCUCUCUCUGUUUUCAGACAUUUCGAGGGAGAGGGGCAGAUCCUUGCCGAGGUGGCAUUUGGUGGCCUCGGUCUCUCUCUCUAAUCCCCUUCCCUCUCUGGACAUUUCCCCAGCCGUCAGCGUGGUAUUUUGGACGGACUACGGGUCAGACGUCCCCGGUGCAAAUCCAGACCCUGCCCCUUUUGCUGUGCGGUUCUCAGCAGGGGACGCAGCAUCCCUGAGCCCAGAGCCCCUGCAGAGGCACGCGUUCCUGGGACCAGGCAGGAAGGGCGUGUAUACACGCGGAGCACGGCAAAUGCCCAGUAAUACGACCACCUCCUGCUCUCACUUCCCCCUUUACCCCCGCCCGGCACCUGCUCCUGGGCCCUUCUUCCCGGGGAGCGAAAAUCCGAGAAUAGCAGUAGCCCCCUCCCCGGGACCCCACUCCAGCUACGGACGCUCUGACUAGGGUCCAGACGCUGCCCGUGCCGAGUUUUGCUCGCUCGUGUUGCAGCGACGGCCCCCUUUGACCUCAGCUGCCCCCGCAGCGCCAGGCCCGCUCGUCUCUGUCUGGCCCAAGAGAGGACAAAAGCCUCGUGGGCACUGUACUCCCCACACAGCGGAAACGCCUUGACGUUGUCAGAAAGAACAUUUCAAUCAGAACUAAGAGCCAGUGAGAACAAACACGGAAGCAAGUGAGUUCAAGAACAAACACCAGUCAUGACUUCAGAGUCUGGGCUCUGCAUCCCAGGGAGUCGGCGAGAGCUUCAGGAAGCCCUUCCGGGGGCUCAUUUCAUUCGGUCCUCAAGACGAUCCGGACGACCCUGGAGAAAUGAACCAAGCGCAGAAAGGUUCAGACACUUGCUCAAGGUAACACAGCAUUAAAGCUCUGUGAAUGGAGAACCACGGCUUUGCUCCAAAUAAUAGUUCUGACCUCUCCACGUUUUUGUCUCGAGACCUCUCUCAGUCAGGAGCUCUGUGCACCCUGUGCGUCCCCAGGCCUCUCUCCAUGGCUCAGGCUCCACCUGGGGGGCUUAGCCAGGCUGGAAAGGUGGGCCGGGAGGGUUCUGGAACAACCUUGACCUUCAAGGCUUAGGUGCGUGCAGCGUCCUGCAUCGAUGGAGCCUUCACGGAGCCCCGGACGAGUACGGCAGCUCCCCCUCCCGUCUGCCACACCGGCCGGCCACACCAGCCACGUGCCAGGUCAGGGAGCCCAGGGGCCCUGGUGAUGGGUGGCCGCCCGGGGCUCUGCCCUGCUGGGGGUGGUGCUGAGCCCCGAUGGGGGGCCGGGGUGACUUUCUGGAAGGUGUGGCUCCCACAGGGGCUCUGAACGAUGGCCAGGGCCAGUCUGGGGACCAGGGCCUCGUAAGUGGGGGAGGCUGGGGGCAGCAAGGGGCAGGGCCUGUGUCACGUGCGGUCUGUGUUUGGUAGGACUUCCCUGGAGGGCACCGGACGCCUUGUGAGGGGCCCUUCCCACCCUCCUCCCUGCAUGCAGCCCUGCGGGUCGCUGUAGAGAGAGACGCCCCGCUCGGGGUCACUCGCAGGAGGUUUCACAGAUGGAACCAGCCCUGUGCAGAGCCUGGCCUGAUCCUUUCCGGAACAGUGAGAAGAAAAGCCAAGCACGGGAGCAAGGGCAGAGAACUCUGUAUUUCCUUGGUGCUUGUCCACGGGACCCAGAAGCUACCACGGUUAUGGAUACGAGAAGCCUGGGGCCUCGCAGGCAGGCCGGUAGGUCCCGGCUGCCUCCAGCCCGGGAGCUGUGCCCAAAACCCACGGGUCCGUCCAGGACAAGGUUCUGAGUCCCUGUGAGUAGUUGCAGGACGAAGGGCUCUUCCCAGCUCCGUCUAUGCUCGUGAACCUUUUAUCCCAGUCGCCACGCGUGACCGAGCCGUGAGUGACCCGAGGAUCAGAUCACAUGGCGGCUGAAACCCAGCCUCCCGCUUUCUUGUCUGGGACGACGGUGGCCUGAGGUUUGCACGGCAACGGCUUUGAGAGCUUCUCCCGGUCUGGCGGCCUCGUUCCAGCUCAGGACGCGUGUGCCCUGCUUGCAGGGGCUCUCCCGGCCCAGCGUGGGCCCGCCUACACCGGGAGGUGCCCAGAGGCCCGGGGACCAUCACCUCCUACCGCGACACGGUGGCGUCCGGACCCAGGCAGCCCUGGAACAGACAUGAGAUUCCGCCGCCCGGCGCCUGGCUCCCGGUGUAGCUUCGCUGAAGUCACCGGGCCCCUUCAGGCGGUGGCUCCUGGUCUAAGAAGUAACAAAAAGUCAUCACGGACGCCCGCGUUCAGUGCCUGUCACGGCCCACUGUCCCCACCUGUGCUCGCCGCGUGCUGACGUGUUGCACCUGCACGGUGAGAAAGGCGUCAUCGGGGCUUUCCAGGAACCGGGGCACAGAGAGGGGCUGCAGCUGGCUCCGGGCCGCACGGCCGGCAGACGUGGGACUUGCUCUCAGACGUGGACGGUCUGGUUUCCCAGUGCUCUGAAGAGAAGGGGAGGGUCAGACCCGUCCCAAGGCUUCCCUUAGCCACGGGCUCUGGGGCGCCUCACGUCCAAGCCUGUGCGCCGGCCUCAUUCACUCGCUCACCCCUCCGCGCAUUCGUUCGCGGAGUCAUGGCCACGACCGCGUCCUCAGGCGCCGUGACACCACGGCCCUGACGCAGGAAAUGAGCACCCCUGACAGGCGGCAGCUGUGGCCGGUGGUGGCCGCCCCCGCCCGGCCCAGACUCGGAGUGUGACCCAGACCUCCUUCACCUGGGUCCGAGGCCCCGACGCUGUGACAUUCGGCCGGGGUUGCUGGGCCUGCCCACUGACCGCCACGGCUGGGCGAGGGGGCGCCGUGCGUAUGCCAGCACUGGGGCCUCCCUGCGCCCUGCGGAUGGGGUCUGUCGCCCCACCAGGACCGGGACCUCCAAGUCCACAGAGCCUGGAGCUGCUGGGGUGAGGUGUGCGGGCCUGGGGGGCGCUGAACACGCACUGCCUGCUCGCACCCCUGGUUCCCAGGUGUCCUCCUGGGGCCCAGGCCAGGGGCUCUCAUUUGGUGCAAACACGGGGGCGGGGGCGGUACCCCAUCCUCUCAGAGAAGUGCCUCUGGGGAUCCGCCAGCUUGUGGCUUCUGGGUGGUCGGUGUGGGAUCGGCCCGAGGUCCCUGUGGUCCCGGGCCUGCUCCCCACCUCUUCUGCUGUACGACGGGCUUCCUGGACCGACGCGACGGUGUGAGGGGGCCAAGCCAGCGGACCAGACACCCAGGAGCCCUCAGUGCCACGGGCGGCGGUCUGGGAGGCCAGCCCAUACCCAGAAUCUCCUGUGAACCUCAGGCCCUUCCAGGACGGCAGGGACCCAGGGUGGCCACUUUGCCACCAAGUGGUCAUUUGGUCCCCUCAAGGACCGAGCCCUACGUGGCUGGCAGGUGCGGGGCGCAGCACGGAGGGGCGGGAGCUCGUGCUGUUGGGUCCACGGGCCGCCUCCUUCUCUGCCUCUGUGGACGCUUCAUCCAAGUGCUCACGGGUCGGCCCUGGGGGUGACGGUGACCCGGUCACUACCCGUGUCCCGCUGUGCACCGAGCGUCUCCAUCUUGGACCCACUGCAGGGCACUGAUGAGAGACUGCACGAACUUCAGGCCUCGUGUCCCCCGCUCACCUGCUCACGUGAACCCAGCCUCCCGCAUCCCUUCCGGUCUUGGUCAGUCAGAUUCCUGACCAACCAGCUGUAUGUACCAUUUCUCCCUGCUUGUGGUCUGGGUGCCUUCUACCCCAGGGCAACUCCACUAGCUCACCAGGGAGCGGGUGAACGGGUGCACCACCCAGGGUCAGCCUCCCGGGACGCCUUCCCUCCCCACGGUCUUCCGAGGUCACCCUGAGGAGGUUGGGGUGCAGCUUGUACCCACCCAGGAGCAAGGUUCGGACUCUUCCUCCUCCCUCAGCGGCUCCCCUGGGAUUCCCCGUGUGGCCUCACGCGUGAGCUGAAGGUGAUGGGCCCUGAGGUCUAGGCUACCUGCUUGCGAAGGCAGCACCUUCUUCGAGUCCCCAGUUAUGAUGGGUUUUGCGGGGCCCGCCUACCCCGUGACUCGGUGGGCCUGCCACGGACGCCCCCUCUGUCACCUGCGAGCGCACAGGGCGCGCCGUGUCGCGGGGCUCACGCUUCUGGCCGCCGACGCUGCAGCCUGGACCCGCCGUGUGCCCGCUCAAAGCCGGGGCCCUGAGGCAGUCCUCCGGCGGGACUUGGCCCAAGCCGCGACACCGCAGCGCGGGCCUGCCGGCUCUGAUUUCUGGCUUAAUUCCUUCGUGAUGCGCUGGACUCUUCUCUUCUUUUAAAUUUGUCGCCGUUUGUUUCACGGCCCAGACUGUGUCCGUCUUGGUGAACGCUCCAUGGGCGCCUGGACGGAACGUGCGUCCACAGUCGUCGGCGGAGAGCUCGGUCCGCGUGCGUUCGCCCUGGUGGGGGGACGGUGCUGCUCGGCCCCGAGCGUUGUCUGCUUCUCCCGCGAGCCACAGGGAGGGCGGGGCCGACGCCCCCACCUGAGUUGCGGGCUUGUCUUUCCAGCUGCGCCCGCUUCGCCCGCUGUGUUUUGUGCGUGUCGUUCGGGCGCAGCCGCGUUGGAAUCGGCCCCUGUGUCGUUCGUUCCCCUGUGUUCCUCUUUAUCUCUGCUGAUCGUCCUUGUUCUGACUCUACGUCCUGUGAUGCACACUUAGCUACCUCGGCUGUCUUCUGAUUGGUGGCUGCGUGGUGUCUUUCUCCAUGCUUUUCCUUGGGUCUAUAUUUUAAUAUUAAAACUUGGUCUCUUGUAGACAGAAUGUG